AGGAAAGCAGGGGAUCGCAAGACCUUGCGCUUUUGGAGCGGCCGAUGUCUGAUUAGCUAGUUGGUGAGGUAAAGGCUUACCAAGGCUUCGAUCAGUAGCUGGUCUGAGAGGACGACCAGCCACACUGGGACUGAGACACGGCCCAGACUCCUACGGGAGGCAACAGUGGGGAAUUUUGGACAAUGGGGGCAACCCUGAUCCAGCCAUGCCGCGUGAGUGAAGAAGGCCUUCGGGUUGUAAAGCUCUUUCAGCCGGAACGAAAAGGUUACGGUUAAUACCCGUGACUAAUGACGGUACCGGAAGAAGAAGCACCGGCUAACUACGUGCCAGCAGCCGCGGUAAUACGUAGGGUGCGAGCGUUAAUCGGAAUUACUGGGCGUAAAGCGUGCGCAGGCGGUUUUGUAAGUCAGAUGUGAAAUCCCCGGGCUUAACCUGGGAACUGCGUUUGAAACUACAAGGCU
rnacentral:rRNA from 1 species